UACGGCUACAUCAUGUUGAAACACCAGUUCCCGAACGAUCACCGAAGUUAAGCAACGUCGAUCCUUGUCGGUAAUUAGGUGAGUGACCGAUUGGGAAUACCAGGUGCUGUAA